GAUGGCUAGUCUUUUAAGAACGCCAUGACGCAGGUCAGAUUUCAGUAGAUGCAUGCGGAAGAUCAAGAGGUUGACGGGAAUUUAUUGGGGAGGUGGUGAUAUGGGAAAGUUAAUGUGUCACAACUCUCGUGACCAACAGGGAGACUCCAAAGCGCGAUCUCUUAGAAGAGUCUGAGAACGUUAGAAUACCUGCUUUCUUUCUUUUUAAUCAGACAUGACACACGAUAAAGGCUGUUGCGGCUCUGUAUGCCAGUGCUUUUUCGAAUACGCAACCCCCAAAAUUCUAGUGAUUAGAAGCAAAAAAGUGGGAACAGUCAACAGGUUGAUCCAGGCACUCAUCAUUGCGUAUGUGAUCGGGUACGUGUGCGUGCUGAAGAGGGGCUACCAGGACACAGACUCCGUCAUCAGCUCUGUCACCACCAAGGUGAAGGGCAUCGCCCUCACCGACACGCCAGACCUGGGCCUUCGCGUGUGGGACGUGGCCGAUUACGUCAUCCCCCCUCAGGUACCCCCCACACCUGAGGAGGAGGAGGAGAGUUCCUUCUUUGUGCUAACAAACAUGAUCAUCACCCCGAACCAAACACAGUCACACUGCCCUGAGGUUCCCGGCUUGAACUGCAGCUGGACCUGUACGUUGGACGCAGACUGCACCCCCGGUCUCAAGGAUGUUCGAGGGAAUGGUGUACAGACGGGUAAUUGUGUGAAUUACAAUGCCACUGUAAAGACUUGUGAAGUUCUGGCUUGGUGCCCGCUGGAAUCUGAAGAGGUGAAUAUGACUAUGCCUCCCAUGCUGGCAGAUGCAGAAAACUUCACUGUGCUGAUUAAAAACAACAUCCGUUACCCCAAGUUCAACUUCAACAAGAGGAACAUUCUGCCCCACAUCACCAGGGACUACCUGACGCACUGCAUAUACAACGCCACCACUGAUCCAGACUGCCCCAUCUUCACCCUCAAAUACAUCGUCUCGGCCGCACAGGAGGACUUUCAGACGAUGGCCAUGCUCGGCGGAGUCAUUGGGAUUCAGAUCCGGUGGGACUGUGACCUGGACAUGCCUGCCAGCUGGUGCAUCCCCCGGUACAGCUUCCGCAGGCUGGACAACAAGGACCCCGAGAACAACGUGGCCCCAGGGUACAACUUCAGGUUCGCAAAAUACUACAAAACGGCCAAUGAUGUGGAGGUGAGAACGCUGAUCAAGGGGUUUGGGAUUCGCUUUGAUGUCAUGGUUUUUGGCGAGGCGGGGAAGUUCAGCAUUGUGCCAAUGCUGCUGAACAUCGGGGCGGGACUGGCUCUCCUCGGAGUGAUAUGAGCUGUUGUGUCAUAUUGCAUUCCACGGGACCAAGGCUAAGUUGUUCUUUGUGCGAAUGGUUUGCAGUUUGGCUUGGUGAUUCGCUUGGCCAUGUUCUGUACCUCUCUUUCUCCAUUACACAUACGUUGUGGUUGGUUGGCUCCUAUAUUUGGCUAUCACUGGCUCUCUGGUGAAAACCCCUCUUUGUUAAGGGAUGGUGAGUUCUGUCUAUUUAUUGGGAUCCCUAGUGUGUGACUAGUCUCUUGCAUGUGUUUAAAUGUAGCCUGUGUUGGUGCUUGUUUUUGGCCAGCUCUGUAUUUGCAUCCAGUCUUGUGGUGGCUGACAGCAGGGUUUUCCUCUUAGUUGGUACCCCAUGUAUGCGCUUGGUCUGUGGACCUACUGUGGUCUGCUAUGUCUUUUGAUUGGUCUGCUCUGUCUCUCUGCAGGUAGCCAAUAUCUGUGGUCUGUAAUGUGGUUCUUUGUGUUUGGUGUCUUUGAAUUGCCUAUUGAGAAUGCUAUUGAUUGGCAUUCUGCUUCCCUCUGUGGGACACCUCGACUGUGAUUGGUCAUUUCCAUUUCUCCGCAGGUAAUCAUUGGUUUCUUUCCGUAGGUAACGGUUGUCUGCGAUUGGAUUGUCCUCACCUUCAUGAAGAAAAAGCACCAGUAUGCAGAAGAGAAAUACUCUUAUGUGGAUGACUUUGGACUGCUUUCUGAAACAGCAGAAUGAGAAUCCCAGCACAGCGGCCUAAACUGCAGGAGCUCAGGUUGAGGUCACGUUGAGGUCAGCGGGAGGAACUGUGGAGAGGGGAGGGGCCUCCACUGGACAUUUACGCCAACACUCCGCCCUGACCCCGCCCACCCUGUCCACUGUUCUGCACAAACUCCAUCCUUUCCCCCACCGUAGCCAGGAAACCGAUUCUUUUCCUGCAUGUAACCAUUAAACCAUUUAACCUCUGA